GACAGGUUCUCGGUCAACGUGGAGACCAGGCGUUCGUUGGCCGAACCCACAAAGUCUUCAUCCCCGCUCGUCUUCAUCAGCUCGUCAAACUCUGUGAGAAAACUUUAGGUCUGGUACCUGGAGCCCAGUUCCGGGUGAGCGGGUGUCGGCACACGACGGCGGACCGGGCGACGCAGGAGACCAAGCUGAGCUCGUCCGAGGAGGUGAUGACCAGGAAGGGCAGGAGCCGCCAGCCAGCCUUCUGCACCAGCUCGGUGUCCCCUUUUCCUAGCCGUGGAUCGGACAGUAAAUGCACCGCCUCCGUCAGCACCGGCAGCCUGCGGGAGACGAUGCAGAGCUCAGAGUUACGGACAGGACACAAAGGCAUCGCCAUUAUUCCUUAUAAUGAUAACGGGUGAAAAUCCCCCGUGUGGGACGAGUAAAGGAUUAUUUUAGUUUAUCCCGUUGUAGAUGUGUGUGUAGUUCACUGACCAGUGAUCGUCCUGGGACGAAUCGUCUCUGUGCAGCAGCGACAAUAGAGAGGACACCGAGUCCUCGGGAUCCAACACGUCCAACAGAACCUGAACACAACAACCGUCAGCUGUCUUCUCCUUUGACCCGUCACACCCGACCCCCUUCCUCCUCCGUCACACUGACCUCCAUGACCUUGAGAGUGGCUGACACGACCUCAGGCACGUCGUCCUUCAGUCGGUCCGUGACGGCGUCUCUGACGAAGACUUCGUCUAAACUCGGCUGGAGCCACGUGAGAUAAAACGGAAAAGGUUUAGAGCCUUGAGGAGCACAAUAACCUGACGUAGCUUCCCACGAGAUGAAGCAUUUAGAAAGUAGCAGAGGAAUCCGUCUCUAUUGACCGCGAUGUCACCUGUGCACCGUGACGUUACCUGAGCGGAGGCGACCACGCCCAUCAGGUGCUCCAACGCAGAGACCCUGACGGAAGGCUGCGGGUGUUUCAGACUGAGCAGCAGCGACGUGUCCGAGUCACCGAUUACCUUACGGAGGAAAGCACGUUAGCUACGUCACACACACCUUGUUGUAACGGCGGCCCGUGUGUGUACCUGGUGUUUCCCGCUGCAGGUGGACAGAGAGAGGAACUGCAGGUACCGACGCCUCUGCUCACCGACGCCGGCCACGUGACCCACGAGGAGGCCGUCCAUAGCGGCGCAGUAUCUGGGGAAGGAGGACCGCAGAGCUAACGCUAACGCAGAGCGUGUAAAACAGCGAUAAAUGAAGAGCGUCCGGCAGCUGGACUCACCUGGAUUCAAACAGCCGGACCAGAGGGGAGAGGCGGCGGUGGAGGUCCGAGGUUUCCUCAGCGGAGAGUUCAACAUGACCGAGGGUUUGUUGUUGAUGCUGUAGGUGACGAAGGUGCGUUUACCGCGCUGCCGUUCGGUCCAGGUCUCCGGUCAGAGGGACAGACUUCAGGACGGCCUCCAGCACGCCGAGCUCGUCGGUCUGCGCCACACCUGGGACAAAGGAGGACAGGUGAACAGGGUGUCUUCUCACAAACAGAGAGAGGGGCGGGGCUCUGGCUCUCACCUGG